GAUGAAGAACGUAGCGAAAUGCGAUACGUAAUGUGAAUUGCAGAAUUCAGUGAAUCAUCGAGUCUUUGAACGCACAUUGCGCCCCCUGGUAUUCCGGGGGGCAUGCCUGUCCGAGCGUCAUUGCUGCCCUCAAGCACGGCUUGUGUGUUGGGCCUCCGUCCUCCUCCCGGGGGACGGGCCCGAAAGGCAGCGGCGGCACCGCGUCCGGUCCUCGAGCGUAUGGGGCUUCGUCACCCGCUCUUGUAGGCCCGGCCGGCGCUUGCCGACACAUCAAUCUUUUUUCCAGGUUGACCUCGGAUCAGGUAGGGAUACCCGCUGAACUUAAGCAUAUCAAUAAGCGG
rnacentral:misc_RNA from 1 species